rnacentral:rRNA from 1 species
AUGGAUCCGGUGGAGGAGUCGCCGACGGUGGUGAUGGGCUUGUACGGCGGCCCGGCGCGCCGCGUGGAGAGCGGGGCGUCGGAGACGAUGCUGCAGUGGGCGCUGCUCCAGCCGGCGUCGCACCGCCCCAACGCGUUCGCGCGGCAGGGCUUGCUCACCUUCCCCAUGGACGCGUGCGGCCGCCGCAUCUCCCUCCACCAGCAGCCGUCCUCCUUCCGGGGGGCCUCCGGGGUCACGGGCGCCGUGGUGUGGGACAGCGCCGUCGUGCUCGCCAAGUUCCUCGAGCACGCGGCCGACGCGGGGCUGCUCUCCGUGCGCGGGGCGCGCGCCGUGGACCUCGGCGCCGGCUGCGGGCUCGUGUCCGCCGUCGCGGCGCUGCUCGGCGCGCGCGUCCUGGCCACCGACCUGCCCGACCGCGUGCGGCUGCUGCGCAAGAACCUCGAGGAGAACGUCGGAGAUGGCGGGUCGGCGGCGGUGGCGGAGCUGGUGUGGGGCGACGGGUACGAGCUGGACCCGGAGCUGCUGCUCUGGCUGGAGCCGGAGCCGCCGGAGCUGGUGCUGGGGUCCGACGUGGUGUACAGCGAGGAGGCCGUGGGCGACCUGCUGGCGACGCUCUGCCGGAUCGCCGGGCCGCGCACCACCGUGCUGCUCGCCGGCGAGCUCCGCAACGACGUGGUGGUGGAGUGCUUCCUGGAUGCGGCCAUGGCGGAGUUCGAGGUCGGGUGCGUGGAGCAGGAGCAGUGGCACCCCGACUUCCGCACCAACCGCGUCGCCAUCUUCAUCCUCAUCAAGAAGAAGGAGAAGGAGAAGAAGAAGGUCUCAUCGCCAUAG